GAUGAAAGUGUGGGAUUGCCGGAUUGUCUUCAAGGUGGGAUAUCGAUGGUGACGUCUUCUCUGGCCCUGCGAUCAGUGGCUCCCGGAUGAGCUAUUUGCUUGGUGUGUGCUUGGUUUACAACUCAUGCGGAUAUCACAUCUAGACUAUAUAGCAUAGCAUUGCUCUUUUACGACUUUGUUAUUUGCGUGUGUGAUAUUUUGCAUUUAUGCAUUUAUAUUAAUUGUGUGCAUCCUAGCAAUGCACAGGCUAGAUGUAUGUUCAUGAUGUUUUGUAUCUUUUUGAUGCUUCAAUAAAUAAAGAACACACUUUUCCCGUAAAAUGGACCUUUUUGGAUUUGAGAAAUACUGGAAAGAUAAUGAUUAUGCCCCUUACAUGAAUUAUAAUUUAUAUAUUGAUAUGUGUUGGCGCCACUUUAAAAUUAUAGUAAAUAUUUUAUCAGGGAAAUCUACAGUGUAUAGUCUAAAUAUACAAGGCAAUUAUAACAUGGCCUCUCUUACUUCCUCUUUUCACAUGAGAAAACCUUGAUAGUGAUUUCUAGAGUAUAUAGUUUGGGCGUACAAAAGCCUAAUUCUAUAGAACUCUACCUUGAUUUCUUUUUGAAUAGUUGGAAUUUCAUGUUUA
rnacentral:lncRNA from 1 species